AGAGUUUGAUCAUGGCUCAGGACGAACGCUGGCGGCGUGCUUAACACAUGCAAGUCGAACGGGGCACCUUUGAAAGAGACUUCGGUCAAUGGAUGAGACUGCCUAGUGGCGGACGGGUGAGUAACGCGUGAGGAACCUGCCUUUCAGAGGGGGACAACAGUUGGAAACGACUGCUAAUACCGCAUGAUGCAUGAUCAGGGCAUCCUGGACAUGCCAAAGAUUUAUCGCUGAAAGAUGGCCUCGCGUCUGAUUAGGUAGUUGGUGAGGUAACGGCCCACCAAGCCGACGAUCAGUAGCCGACCUGAGAGGGUGAUCGGCCACAUUGGGACUGAGACACGGCCCAAACUCCUACGGGAGGCAGCAGUGGGGAAUAUUGCACAAUGGGGGAAACCCUGAUGCAGCGACGCCGCGUGAGUGAAGAAGUAUUUCGGUAUGUAAAGCUCUAUCAGCAGGGAAGAGAAUGACGGUACCUGAGUAAGAAGCCCCGG
rnacentral:rRNA from 1 species